ACCUCAGCUGUGAGAUGUAGGACAGACACUGAAGGAAACUCCUCACUUCACUCUCUUCAUCUGACCAGUCCUUCAGCUCUACUGGUUUCUUCUCUGGUUGGAGUUUCAGCACUUCUAGGAGGAGGGAGGCCUUUCUCUCUGAGAGGUCUAUGGACCAGACUGCAGGAGCUGACUGGUAAACUGUCUGUAAUGCUGGAAGGACACUCCUGCCUGUUUGAGUCUCAUAGUCCUUCACAUGUGAGUACAGAUCCAGCAGGAAAUCACAUUUCUGGUUGUGAUAUACUUUAGACAGCGACACCACUUUCUCUACAGUUGUUUGUAUGGUUCCUCUCUCAUGGAGAGCUGCUUGAAGACACAGAUUCAGUAGGCAUGUCUUGUCUCUCUUUCUCCUAUUUAUGUUAUCCUUCAGUGGAGAAAAUCUGUUAAAAGAUUGUAUGAAGGUUAAAGAUAAAUGAUUCAAUCAUUCUACCCUGAAACUUAACCAUUAGGGAUUAGAUGUUGUGUGGACCUGGGAAGAGAG
ensembl:lncRNA